rnacentral:lncRNA from 1 species
GACAAGUCUUAACUUUUUGGUGGUCCGAACAAGGGAGGGAGGAGGAGAAUAAAUCGAGGGGAGGCAAUGGCCUUACCCUUCCUUUGGUCACAUUCGUGCUGAGCAAUGGAUCCUCAGCAUAUCUUGAGGAGCUAUAGCUAUAGGGGGAAGCUGGCAAACCCCUGCUCAACUGCAAUGUGGCAACUCCCUCCCCUCCUGAUCCAUUUACACCUGAGGCAAGCACCCUGUUCACACCAUGGAGAAGACUACCCUAGGUCUCCUCUACUAGCAAACUAGGUCAUCCUCACAUUCUCCCCUCUCCUUGAAAGAAUUUUAUCCUCAAAAUUUACAUACCUAAGCCUUAAAAGAGUAGAAAGUAUUUGACCCUCAUCACAUCAUCGAGGUCCCAAGUAGUCCCUCCCCUUUCAAG